rnacentral:misc_RNA from 1 species
GAUGAAGAACGUAGCGAAAUGCGAUAAGUAGUGUGAAUUGCAGAAUUCCGUGAAUCAUCGAAUCUUUGAACGCACAUUGCGCCUUCUGGUAUUCCGGAAGGCAUGCCUGUUCGAGAGUCAUUAACAACCGUUUCGAUCCCUUUCUUUCAGAAAUUACAAAGAGGAAAAGGGUUUGGUUAUGGUGGAGGAGGGAAAGGGAGCGUUUAGCCUGUAAAAAAAGAGGCUGUGUUCCGCCUCCCCCCCAAAAUUGUACAGGCGGUCGUGUGCGCCCACGCAUCGAGGUGUUGUAAAAGCUGCCACGGCACUUUUCACCUGUGCAGUGCCAGAUUGGCCAGCCGGUUUAAAAACCCCUCCAAACAAUCAAAGGUUGACCUCGGAUCAGGUAGGGAUACCCGCUGAACUUAAGCAUAUCAAUAAGCGGAGGA